rnacentral:tRNA from 1 species
GCCAGUAUAGAGGUUAUGACCCUUGGCUUGUAACCGAGUAGGCUCGGGUUCGAAUCCCGAAUAAGGCG